UACGAGGGGGGCAAGCGUUGUUCGGAAUUAUUGGGCGUAAAGGGCGCGUAGGCGGUUUGACAAGUCUGAUGUGAAAUCUCUGGGCUCAACCCAGAGUCUGCAUUAGAAACUGUCGGGCUUGAGUAUGGGAGAGGUGAGUGGAAUUUCCGGUGUAGCGGUGAAAUGCGUAGAUAUCGGAAGGAACACCUGUGGCGAAAGCGGCUCACUGGACCAUAACUGACGCUGAGGCGCGUAAGCUAGGGGAGCAAACAGG
rnacentral:rRNA from 1 species